AGAAAUUUCACUCCGAAUUUAUUAGUACUCCGUACUAAAAUGUUCUUGAAGAAUUUUUAGAGAAUUUAAUAGUGCUGCUAUAAUAGUAGCGCUGAAUCGAUCUGUCCAUGGUGCUGUGUGUGCGUUGCGAAUUCUGCAAUGCUUCUUCUUCCUCCUCGCGACAGCCUCAGCAAUGGCGCCGACGCCGACGCCGCAAGCUACUACCAGGCCCGGGUCCCGCUAGCCGAGCCCCUCCUCGGGAAGCAGAAGCCUCAAUGGCCGGACUGGCUCCGGCGGCUCGGUGUCCGGCACGGCGAGGGAGGAUCCGGCACGGCCGUGGACUGGGGCUUCGUGCGGUCGACGUGCUUGGAGUGGGUGAAGAACCCCAUGAACGUCGCGCUGCUGGUGCUGCUGCUCCUCGGCCUCCUCGACGGCGCUUUCCCGUCGCCGGCGGCGAGGGGCCACUGGGUGGAGGUGAACAACCAGGUGCUCAACGCGCUAUUCACGCUCAUGAGCCUCUACCAGCACCCGGCGCUCUUCCACCACCUCUUCCUCCUCUGCCGCUGGCGCCUCCCCCGCGACGCCGCCGAGCUCCGUGAUGCCUACUGCAGCAAUGGCUGCAAUGGCCCGGAGCGGGCCCACAUGGCCGUCGUCGUGGCACUGCUCCACCUCACCGUCGCCUGCCAGUACGCGCUCUGCGGCCUCUACUGGUGCUUCACGCCGAGCUCCCGCCCCGAGCUCCUCGAGGACGGCUUCUUUGCGCUCGGUGUCGCCGCCGCCGCGUACACCGUGUCCAGCCCGCUCGGGAGGAGCGACCCCUCUGACGCGUUCGUGCCGCUCUGCUUCGCGCCGCUCUGCGUCUUCGGCGUCUCGGCAGCGCGCGUCCAGGAGGCGACAGUCGGCCGCGCGGUGGCCGGCGCCGGCGUGCUGCUCUGCGCUUGUGGCCUCCUGUACGGCGGCUACUGGCGGGUCCAGAUGAGGAGGAAGUUCCGGCUGCCGGCGGAGAGCGCCGCCUGCUGCUGCGGCUCCUCGUCGGCGACGGACUACGCCCGCUGGCUCCUCUGCUGGCCCUGCGCGCUGGCGCAGGAGGUGUGCACGGCCACCCGGUACAAAAUCCACGGCGACAACUUCUUCCACCGCAAUGCCGCUGCCGAGCCGGGCCACGGUGCCGGAUCACCCCCUGCGGCGAUGGUUCCACCGGCGCUGGUUCAGGUCGUGGUGGUGCGAAGAAGGUGAUGACGCGCUCCAUAGAUCGCACAAUGCCACCGUUCAUGGUGAGAGCAAGAUGGAACCGCCGCCGGUCCACCGCCUUCUGGCAUCAUCGGUCAUCGACAUCGGAGAAGAAGAAGUAUCGCCUUCGCCGGACCUAGAAUUGUCCGGCGGCGGAAGGUGGGGGGUGGAGACGGUGAAGAGGAUGAUCAAUGUGGUCACCAUGGUGUCUUUCCUCCUCCUGCUCUACACAAGGGGAUUUAUUCGCUAGCUGGAAAUUCGCCAAAUUUUAGGAUUUUAGAUGCACAGAUCAUAUACAUACUUGAAAGUACAUACAUACGGGUGUUGCAAGAUUCAAAUGAGUAAAUAAUCUUGUAAUUUCUGGGCGGCGAUCGCGCUUUGGGACGAGUUUCAGUGAGUUUCAGAUUAUAUAAUGUGGUUGAGAUGCUAA